rnacentral:rRNA from 1 species
AGGUAAGCUACUAAGAGCGAAUGGUGGAUGCCUUGACUGGUAAAGGCGAUGAAGGACGUACUAGACUGCGAUAAGCUACGGGGAGCUGUCAAGAAGCUUUGAUCCGUAGAUUUCCGAAUGGGGCAACCCAAUGUAUAGAGAUAUACAUUACCUAUAUAGGAGCGAACGAGGGGAAUUGAAACAUCUUAGUACCCUCAGGAAAAGAAAUCAAUAGAGAUUGCGUCAGUAGCGGCGAGCGAAAGCGCAAGAGGGCAAACCCAGUGCUUGCACUGGGGGUUGUAGGACUGCAAUGUGCAAGAGCUGAGUUUAGCAGAACAUUCUGGAAAGUAUAGCCAUAGAGGGUGAUAGUCCCGUAUGCGAAAAACAAAGCUUAGCUAGCAGUAUCCUGAGUAGGGCGGGACACGAGGAAUCCUGUCUGAAUCCGGGUCGACCACGAUCCAACCCUAAAUACUAAUACCAGAUCGAUAGUGCACAAGUACCGUGAGGGAAAGGUGAAAAGAACUGAGGUGAUCAGAGUGAAAUAGAACCUGAAACCAUUUGCUUACAAUCAUUCAGAGCACUAUGUAGCAAUACAGUGUGAUGGACUGCCUUUUGCAUAAUGAGCCUGCGAGUUGUGGUGUCUGGCAAGGUUAAGCAAACGCGAAGCCGUAGCGAAAGCGAGUCUGAAUAGGGCGCUUAGUCAGAUGCUGCAGACCCGAAACGAAGUGAUCUAUCCAUGAGCAAGUUGAAGCUAGUGUAAGAACUAGUGGAGGACUGAACCCAUAGGCGUUGAAAAGCCCCGGGAUGACUUGUGGAUAGGGGUGAAAGGCCAAUCAAACUUCGUGAUAGCUGGUUCUCUCCGAAAUAUAUUUAGGUAUAGCGUUGUGUCGUAAUAUAAGGGGGUAGAGCACUGAAUGGGCUAGGGCAUACACCAAUGUACCAAACCCUAUCAAACUCCGAAUACCUUAUAUGUAAUCACAGCAGUCAGGCGGCGAGUGAUAAAAUCCGUCGUCAAGAGGGAAACAACCCAGACUACCAGCUAAGGUCCCUAAAUCUUACUUAAGUGGAAAACGAUGUGAAGUUACUUAAACAACCAGGAGGUUGGCUUAGAAGCAGCCAUCCUUUAAAGAAAGCGUAAUAGCUCACUGGUCUAGUGAUUUUGCGCGGAAAAUAUAACGGGGCUAAAGUAAGUACCGAAGCUGUAGACUUGCACACAACUUAGAUUAUUUAAGUUUAGAAUAAGUAGUUUAAGUUGUGUGCAAGUGGUAGGAGAGCGUUCUAUUUGCGUCGAAGGUAUACCGGUAAGGAGUGCUGGAGCGAAUAGAAGUGAGCAUGCAGGCAUGAGUAGCGAUAAUUAAUGUGAGAAUCAUUAACGCCGUAAACCCAAGGUUUCCUACGCGAUGCUCGUCAUCGUAGGGUUAGUCGGGUCCUAAGUCGAGUCCGAAAGGGGUAGACGAUGGCAAAUUGGUUAAUAUUCCAAUACCAACAUUAGUGUGCGAUGGAAGGACGCUUAGGGCUAAGGGGGCUAGCGGAUGGAAGUGCUAGUCUAAGGUCGUAGGAGGUUAUACAGGCAAAUCCGUAUAACAAUACUCCGAGAACUGAAAGGCUUUUUGAAGUCUUCGGAUGGAUAGAAGAACCCCUGAUGCCGUCGAGCCAAGAAAAGUUUCUAAGUUUAGCUAAUGUUGCCCGUACCGUAAACCGACACAGGUGGGUGGGAUGAGUAUUCUAAGGCGCGUGGAAGAACUCUCUUUAAGGAACUCUGCAAAAUAGCACCGUAUCUUCGGU